rnacentral:rRNA from 1 species
UGGGGGAUAUUGCACAAUGGAGGAAACUCUGAUGCAGCGACGCCGUGUGAGGGAAGAAGGUCUUCGGAUUGUAAACCUCUGUCUUCAGGGACGAAGAAAGUGACGGUACCUGGAGAGGAAGCCACGGCUAACUACGUGCCAGCAGCCGCGGUAAUACGUAGGUGGCAAGCGUUGUCCGGAAUUACUGGGUGUAAAGGGUGCGCAGGCGGGUCGGCAAGUUGGAUGUGAAAUAUCCGUGCUUAACACGGGGGCUGCAUUCAAAACUGCCGGUCUUGAGUAAGGUAGAGGUAGGCGGAAUUCCCGGUGUAGCGGUUAAAUGCGUAGAUAUCGGGAGGAACACCAGUGGCGAAGGCGGCCUACUGGGCCUUUACUGACGCUGAGACACGAAAGCGUGGGUAGCAAACA